rnacentral:rRNA from 1 species
AAAAACAUGGCUCCCUGUAGUUAAAAGGUAGGGAGUCGGGCCUGCCCAGUGAAUUUUUAACGGCCGCGGUACUCUGACCGUGCAAAGGUAGCAUAAUCAUUUGCCUUAUAAUUGAAGGCUAGUAUGAAUGGUUUGACAAGAAUGUAGCUGUCUCUUUGCAGUUUAAUAGAACUUUAUUUAUAGGUGAAGAAGCCUAUCUAGAAUUAAAAGACGAGAAGACCCUAUCGAGCUUAAAAAAAAUAAGCAGGUUUAAAUCCAUUAUUUAAGAGGAAUAACGGCUAAAAAUUUUAGUUGGGGUGACCGAGGAACAUAAAAAGCUUCUUUUAUAGUUUAUAAAGCUAGCAAGCACUGAUCCAAAAUAUCUUGAUCAAAGAAAUUAGUUACCGUAGGGAUAACAGCAUUAUCUUUUUUAAGAGCUCCUAUCGAAAAAAAGGUUUGUGACCUCGAUGUUGGACCAGAAUAUCCUAAAAGGUGUAGCAGCCAAUAAGGG